UACGUAGGCAGCGAGCGUUGUUCGGAGUUACUGGGCGUAAAGGGUGUGUAGGCGGUUCUUUAAGUUUGGUGUGAAAUCUCCCGGCUCAACCGGGAGGGUGCGCCGAAUACUGAGGGACUUCGAGUGCGGGAGAGGAAAGUGGAAUUCCUGGUGUAGCGGUGAAAUGCGUAGAUAUCAGGAGGAACACCGGUGGUGUAGACGGCUUUCUGGACCGUAACUGACGCUGAGACACGAAAGCGUGGGGAGCAAACAGG
rnacentral:rRNA from 1 species